rfam:Gossypium raimondii Chr04_contig_86, whole genome shotgun sequence.
CACGUCAGCGCGAUGUGCUGACUCAGCAGGAAAUCGCUUCCUCUAGGACGCGAUUUCCUGCUGAGUCAGCACAUCGCGUUGACGUGG